ACACCGAUAUAAGAGGGCUUGGGAGCACUAUGGGGUCUCUUUUAUAAGAACGUUAAUCCCAUUCACAAGGACUCCACUCUUAUGACCUAAGCACUACCCAAACACCCCACCUCCUAAUACCAUCACAUUGGUCAUUAGGAUUUCAACAUAUGAAUUU